AUUGAACGCUGGCGGCAUGCCUUACACAUGCAAGUCGAACGGUAACAGGUCUUCGGAUGCUGACGAGUGGCGAACGGGUGAGUAAUACAUCGGAACGUGCCCGAGAGUGGGGGAUAACGAAGCGAAAGCUUUGCUAAUACCGCAUACGAUCUCAGGAUGAAAGCAGGGGACCGCAAGGCCUUGCGCUCACGGAGCGGCCGAUGGCAGAUUAGGUAGUUGGUGGGAUAAAAGCUUACCAAGCCGACGAUCUGUAGCUGGUCUGAGAGUACGACCAGCCACACUGGGACUGAGACACGGCCCAGACUCCUACGGGAGGCAGCAGUGGGGAAUUUUGGACAAUGGGCGCAAGCCUGAUCCAGCCAUGCCGCGUGCAGGAUGAAGGCCUUCGGGUUGUAAACUGCUUUUGUACGGAACGAAAAGCCCUGGGUUAAUACCCUGGGGUCAUGACGGUACCGUAAGAAUAAGCACCGGCUAACUACGUGCCAGCCGCCGCGGUAACAC
rnacentral:rRNA from 1 species